rnacentral:rRNA from 1 species
AUUGAACGCUGGCGGCAUGCUUUACACAUGCCAGUCGAACGGUAACAGGCCUUCGGGUGCUGACGAGUGGCGAACGGGUGAGUAAUGCAUCGGAACGUACCCAGAGGUGGGGGAUAACGCAGCGAAAGCUGUGCUAAUACCGCAUGUGAUCUGAGGAUGAAAGCGGGGGACCGAGCAGCAAUGUUUGGCCUCGCGCCUUUGGAGCGGCCGAUGUCGGAUUAGCUAGUUGGUGGGGUAAAGGCCUACCAAGGCGACGAUCCGUAGCUGGUCUGAGAGGACGACCAGCCACACUGGGACUGAGACACGGCCCAGACUCCUGCGGGAGGCAGCAGUGGGGAAUUUUGGACAAUGGGCGCAAGCCUGAUCCAGCAAUGCCGCGUGCGGGAAGAAGGCCUUCGGGUUGUAAACCGCUUUUGGCAGGAACGAAACGGUGUCCGCUAAUACCGGGCGCUAAUGACGGUACCUGCAGAAUAAGCACCGGCUAACUACGUG